UGGCUCAAAAGGGUAGGGCACUGGCCCCAUAUGCCAGAGGUGCUGGGUUCAAAUCCAGC
rnacentral:tRNA from 1 species